rnacentral:rRNA from 1 species
GACGAACGCUGGCGGCGUGCCUAAUACAUGCAAGUUGAGCGAUGAAGAUUGGUGCUUGCACCAAUUUGAAGAGCAGCGAACGGGUGAGUAACGCGUGGGGAAUCUGCCUUUGAGCGGGGGACAACAUUUGGAAACGAAUGCUAAUACCGCAUAACAACUUUAAACAUAAGUUUUAAGUUUGAAAGAUGCAAUUGCAUCACUCAAAGAUGAUCCCGCGUUGUAUUAGCUAGUUGGUGAGGUAAAGGCUCACCAAGGCGAUGAUACAUAGCCGACCCGAGAGGGUGAUCGGCCACAUUGGGACUGAGACACGGCCCAAACUCCUACGGGAGGCAGCAGUAGGGAAUCUUCGGCAAUAGACGAAAGUCUGACCGAGCAACGCCGCGUGAGUGAAGAAGGUUUUCGGAUCGUAAAACUCUGUUGGUAGAGAAGAACGUUGGUGAGAGUGGAAAGCUCAUCAAGUGACGGUAACUACCCAGAAAGGGACGGCUAACUACGUG